CGGGACGGGUGAGUAACGCGUGGAAAACCUGCCGUAUACUGGGGGAUAACACUUAGAAAUAGGUGCUAAUACCGCAUAAGCGUCACAGCUUCGCAUGAAGUGGUGUGAAAAACUCUGGUGGUAUACGAUGGUUCCGCGUCUGAUUAGCUUGUUGGUGGGGGUAAUGGCUCACCAAGGCGACGAUCAGUAGCCGGCCUGAGAGGGUGAACGGCCACAUUGGGACUGAGACACGGCCCAAACUCCUACGGAAGGCAGCAG
rnacentral:rRNA from 1 species